AUUGAACGCUGGCGGCAUGCCUUACACAUGCAAGUCGAACGGUAACGGGCCUUCGGGUGCCGACGAGUGGCGCACGGGUGAGUAAUACAUCGGAACGUGCCCGAUCGUGGGGGAUAACGAGGCGAAAGCUUUGCUAAUACCGCAUACGAUCUACGGAUGACAGCAGGGGACCGCAAGGCCUUGCGCGGACGGAGCGGCCGAUGGCAGAUUAGGUAGUUGGUGGGAUAAAAGCUUACCAAGCCGACGAUCUGUAGCUGGUCUGAGAGGAUGAUCAGCCACACUAGGACUGAGACACGGACCAGACUCCUACGGGAGGCAGCAGUGGGGAAUUUUGGACAAUGGGCGCAAGCCUGAUCCAGCCAUGCCGCGUGCAGGAUGAAGGCCUUCGGGUUGUAAACUGCUUUUGUACGGAACGAAAAGCCUUCUUUUAAUACAGGAGGGUCAUGACGGUACCGUAAGAAUAAGCACCGGCUAACUACGUG
rnacentral:rRNA from 1 species